GCUGAAAUAGCUCAGUUGGGAGAGCGUUAGACUUGAGAUCUAAAGGUCCCUGGAUUAAUCCUGGGUUUUGGCA